GAUGAACGCUGGCGGCGUGCCUAAUACAUGCAAGUCGAGCGAACAGACGAGGAGCUUGCUCCUCUGACGUUAGCGGCGGACGGGUGAGUAACACGUGGAUAACCUACCUAUAAGGCUGGGAUAACUUCGGGAAACCGGAGCUAAUACCGGAUAAUAUAUUGAACCGCAUGGUUCAAUAGUGAAAGACGGUUUUGCUGUCACUUAUAGAUGGAUCCGCGCCGCAUUAGCUAGUUGGUAAGGUAACGGCUUACCAAGGCAACGAUGCGUAGCCGACCUGAGAGGGUGAUCGGCCACACUGGAACUGAGACACGGUCCAGACUCCUACGGGAGGCAGCAGUAGGGAAUCUUCCGCAAUGGGCGAAAGCCUGACGGAGCAACGCCGCGUGAGUGAUGAAGGUCUUCGGAUCGUAAAACUCUGUUAUUAGGGGAGAACAAAUGUGUAAGUAACUAUGCACGUCUUGACGGUACCUAAUCAGAAAGCCACGGCUAACUACGUG
rnacentral:rRNA from 1 species